rnacentral:rRNA from 1 species
GACGUAGGGCGCGAGCGUUGUCCGGAUUUAUUGGGCGUAAAGAGCUCGUAGGCGGCUUGUCGCGUCGAAUGUGAAAUCUCAGGGCUCAACUCUGACAUUGCAUUCGAUACGGGCAGGCUCGAGUUCGGUAGGGGAGACCGGAAUUCCUGGUGUAGCGGUGAAAUGCGCAGAUAUCAGGAGGAACACCGGUGGCGAAGGCGGGUCUCUGGGCCGAUACUGACGCUGAGGAGCGAAAGCGUGGGGAGCGAACAGG